CUGCUAGCCAUAACUUAUAGAGAACCGUACCGCAAACCGACACAGGUGGACAGGUAGAGAAUACUAAGGCGCUUGAGAGAACUCGGGUGAAGGAACUAGGCAAAAUGGUACCGUAACUUCGGGAGAAGGUACGCCCUUUCUGGUGAUGGGAUUUACUUUCAGAGCUGGAGAGGGCCGCAGAGACCAGGUGGCUGCGACUGUUUAUUAAAAACACAGCACUCUGCAAAUUCGUAAGAAGACGUAUAGGGUGUGACGCCUGCCCGGUGCCGGAAGGUUAAUUGAUGGGGUUAUCUUCGGAGAAGCUCUUGAUCGAAGCCCCGGUAAACGGCGGCCGUAACUAUAACGGUCCUAAGGUAGCGAAAUUCCUUGUCGGGUAAGUUCCGACCUGCACGAAUGGCGUAACGAUGGCCACACUGUCUCCACCCGAGACUCAGUGAAAUUGAAAUCGCUGUGAAGAUGCAGUGUACCCGCGGCUAGACGGAAAGACCCCGUGAACCUUUACUAUAGUUUUGCACUGGACUUUGAUGAUGACUGUGUAGGAUAGGUGGGAGGCUGUGAAGUGAGGACGCUAGUUCUCAUGGAGCCGCCCUUGAAAUACCACCCUGUUGUUAUUGAGGUUCUAACUUGGUCCAGUAAUCCUGGAUGAGGACAGUGUAUGAUGGGUAGUUUGACUGGGGCGGUCUCCUCCCAAAGAGUAACGGAGGAGCACAAAGGUACCCUCGGUACGGUCGGACAUCGUACCAAGAGUGUAAAGGCAAAAGGGUGCUUGACUGCGAGAGUGACGGCUCGAGCAGGAACGAAAGUUGGUCUUAGUGAUCCGGUGGUUCUGAAUGGAAGGGCCAUCGCUCAACGGAUAAAAGGUACUCCGGGGAUAACAGGCUGAUACCGCCCAAGAGUUCAUAUCGACGGCGGUGUUUGGCACCUCGAUGUCGGCUCAUCACAUCCUGGGGCUGAAGCAGGUCCCAAGGGUAUGGCUGUUCGCCAUUUAAAGUGGUACGCGAGCUGGGUUUAGAACGUCGUGAGACAGUUCGGUCCCUAUCUGCCGUGGGCGUAGGAAAAUUGAGAGGAGCUGCUCCUAGUACGAGAGGACCGGAGUGGACGAACCUCUGGUGCACCGGUUGUCACGCCAGUGGCAUGGCCGGGUAGCUAAGUUCGGACGGGAUAACCGCUGAAAGCAUCUAAGCGGGAAGCCUCCCUCAAGAUGAGUUUUCCCAUGAAGCCCGUUGAAGACUACGACGUUGAUAGGCAAGGUGUGGAAGCGCAGUAAUGCGUGAAGCUAACUUGUACUAAUUGGCUGAUUG
rnacentral:rRNA from 1 species